UACGUAGGGUGCGCGCGUUGUCCGGAAUUAUUGGGCGUAAAGGGCUCGUAGGCGGUUUGUCGCGUCGGGAGUGAAAUCAUCUGGCUUAACUGGGUGCUUGCUUUCGAUACGGGCAGACUAGAGGUAUGCAGGGGAGAACGGAAUUCCUGGUGUAGCGGUGAAAUGCGCAGAUAUCAGGAGGAACACCGGUGGCGAAGGCGGUUCUCUGGGCAUGACCUGACGCUGAGGAGCGAAAGUGUGGGGAGCGAACAGG
rnacentral:rRNA from 1 species